CCUACGGGAGGCAGCAGUGGGGAAUAUUGGACAAUGGGGGCAACCCUGAUCCAGCCAUGCCGCGUGUGUGAAGAAGGCCCUCGGGUUGUAAAGCACUUUCAGUGAGGAAGAACGCCUGGUGGUUAAUACCCAUCAGGAAAGACAUCACUCACAGAAGAAGCACCGGCUAACUCCGUGCCAGCAGCCGCGGUAAGACGGAGGGUGCGAGCGUUAAUCGGAAUUACUGGGCGUAAAGCGCGCGUAGGUGGCUUGAUAAGCCGGUUGUGAAAGCCCCGGGCUCAACCUGGGAACGGCAUCCGGAACUGUCAAGCUAGAGUGCAGGAGAGGAAGGUAGAAUUCCCGGUGUAGCGGUGAAAUGCGUAGAGAUCGGGAGGAAUACCAGUGGCGAAGGCGGCCUUCUGGACUGACACUGACGCUGAGGUGCGAAAGCGUGGGUAGCAAACAGGAUUAGAUACCCUGGUAGUC
rnacentral:rRNA from 1 species